ensembl:lncRNA
CCAGUCCUUUUGGUGCUGUUCAGAGAGCAACAAGUUAAUGGCCUUGAGUUGAGCCAGGCCUCCUACAGACAGAUACCAUCUGAGCCUCAUGUAUUAAUGUCAGCUCCCAUUCUCUCUGAAGCUGCACUCCUGCAACUCCAGGCCUUGCCUCCCACACUGCUCUGCCCAGGUACCUCAGUCCUGACUUGCAGCAGCUUCUGCCAUUCCCACUUGGAGCCUGCUGAGCAGGCUGGGUUGCACAAUGUAUUUCUAGCGUGUGCAAAGACUUCUUGAGUUUACUUUCACUGCAUUUCACUGUUCUUUUAAUCUUCUAAGCAGUAUGACAUUAAUUUUAAAGCAAUUCUGAACACAUCUGCUCAAGUUUUGUUCCCAGUGCUCCAGCCUUGUGGUCUAUAGCUGAUGGGCAUUGCCAACGUAGCUUGUUGAACCUCCCAGGCAGAAGAGAUGAUUUCAUUGCUCUUUGGAGGCACUGCCCCUGUGAUUCUGGAGCCAGACAUUGUUGCACUUCAGAAAAUCUGGUCCUGGCUCUUGCCAGAGGAUGGGAUUGUGGCAUCGCGCCCAUGACUUGGGCUGAGCCUGAAAAAAAACCUCCAGAAGGGCUUUCAAUCCAGCUGUGAUGCUGAGGGUUCCAGCAAAUAGCAAGGAACGCUUUGCCUCCCCAGGAAACAGAUUUUUGUUUAAGAAAAGCCCACCCUGUCUCUGCUGAGUCCGAAUCUGGGUUAUUAAGUCCUAUGGGAAAGAAUGCUGUCACAAAGAGCCCAGCUGAACUGUGUCUUAUCAUCAAUAAAUCCGUUUUUAUCCAUUGCUGUGCCAGGGCACCCAGGCAGAAGGGAAAGACCGCAUGGGGACGGACGGUGCACCUCUGCUCUGAGCGGUGCUGUGCUGGAAUACAGGAGAAAAACCUCCAGGAUCUCUGACUUAGGGGCUCUGAUGGGGAGAAGUCCAAUCGCUGACCUCCCGCAGAGGCUGUCUGAUAAGCUUGUCUGUCCCUCAUACCUACCCAGGCGCUUUGCUGACAGCACACGAUGCUCUUAGAGGAAUUCUCCAGAACUUCUGCCCGCGGCCAUAAAUGCGGUUACCUGUUGAUCCCUUUCCCCUCCGCAGCACAGAAAGGCGAGCUGCCUCGUCCUAUGGGAGCUGGUUUGGUGCCUUGGAAAGGAGCUGUGGCUGCAGGUGUUGCGUGGAAGACGAUUUAGGGAGGACAGCAUUAGGGUUUGCAGCAGAGAUGGGGCUCUGUGAUGCAUACCCCAACCCUCUUGGGAAGGCACAAGAGGAUGGAUGGUGUAACCUCAGCUCAUCGCUGAAGUAACCACCCACAGCUCCGACUGUGUUGGAGAAAACAUUGGUGUUUGGAAUACGUUCUCCAGGUGUCCAGGAGCCUUCAGCCUCCCGGGGUCCCCACCAAAGUGACCCCCACCUCCUCCAGAACACACAGAUGGGGCACAGAGCAGCGGAUUCAGCAGUGCAGCAUCUGGUUUCUGUUCGGUGCUCUGAGAUCACGAACCGCCCCAUCCAAAGCUCAUCCCGUAGGUGCAGCCAUGGGUGCUGGGAUCCCUUCCUGGGUCCGACAGCCCCCGGAGCAUCUCCUCCCUCCACCCCAAAUCAAACGGAACCAAUGGAAUGCAUACAUCCUUUCCAACCAUGCUAACCGCAAUGGUACUAAUUAGCACUCCGCUAAAUGGCCGUGAUUAGUUUAGCAGCUGAUGGAAUAUUUAAUCUAGAAUGUCUCUCUAUUUUGGGGGGGGGGGAAGAAAAAAGCAAACCGAAAAAGCGGGUCGUUUAUUUAUUUCUCUAACAAAUUCCUGCUGCUGGCCAUGCUGAAAACGUGAAUCACGCAGCGGGAGCUGAGACUGGAGUGGCUCUUCUACCGAAGGGAAAAAAAAAAAAAAAGAAAAAGAAAAAGAAAAGCAGAUUAAAGUGCAGGAAACGCAGCUUGUGAGAUGAGGCAGGCGCCUCGCAAAGCCAUUUGCAACACAAAGUUAACGAAUAACGCCGGGCUCGGAGCACGAUAAAUGAACGAGCGCAAAAUAGCAGAGCUUCCCCCUCCAUCGUGCUGAUGGAGCGGUGGUUCCCC